GUUCAGUACGCCCGUGGCCCUCUCUGGACGUGCACGGUGUCUCGCGGUCGUCGGUCGAGCUACCUGCCGCGACGCCGAGGUCGGGCCCUUCUCGGGAGGAGCGUCGACUGCGAGAAAGGGAGAGAGAGAGAUCGAUCGUCCAGCCCCGUGGAUUAGAAGUGCGCGCGUGUGCGACAUCCCAGCGAAGGUAGAGAAAAAGUACGCGUUUCGUUGUUAGGCCCGCAACCAUCGCCGGCGACACCAGGCGUACUCUUGCUGGAGCCGAUCACGCACUCAACAGGACACCCGCUAAACAUGGCCAGCAAUCCCGCGGAACUUUUGACCACGCACACCGAACACACCACGCCCGCCUACCACGCGCAGAUCAGGUGAGGUCUCGCUACGACAAAAUCUAGUCUUACAAAACUUGAUAACUCGCCAGAUGGUGAGAUAAAUUGGCGCAUCUGGCAAAAUACCGAAAGAAACUAAUUAAGAAUCAAUUCUUGGAAAGAAACGCGUUUCGCGUGAUUUAAUGAACUCUAUCAAAGACCUUUCUUCACAAACGCA